GUGCCCACUUUGACAGCACAUCUACUAAAAUUGGAACAAUACAGAGAUUAGCAUGGCUCUUGUGCAAGGAUGACACACACAUUCGUGAAACGUUCUGUAUAUUU
ensembl:snRNA U6 U6 spliceosomal RNA